AGCUUUGCGCAGUGGCAGUAUCGUAGCCAAUGAGGUUUAUCCGAGGCGCGAUUAUUGCUAAUUAAAGUAUGUUACCUAAAUCUUUCCUUGUAGGAGCCUCUUACAUAAAGUGAAUAUUUGGUGAUAUACACAAAACUUUAUU